rfam:Monodelphis domestica chromosome 1, whole genome shotgun sequence.
GUCCAAGUAAUUUAACAAAAAUAUUGGCCUUGUAAGCCAACAACAAAGGAAAAAUCCUUCCUAGGACA